AAUGAACGCUGGCGGCAUGCCUAACACAUGCAAGUCGAACGAAGGCUUCGGCCUUAGUGGCGCACGGGUGCGUAACGCGUGGGAACCUGCCCUUGGGUUCGGAAUAACAGUUAGAAAUGACUGCUAAUACCGGAUGAUGUCGUAAGACCAAAGAUUUAUCGCCCAAGGAUGAGCCCGCGUAGGAUUAGCUAGUUGGUGGGGUAAAGGCCUACCAAGGCGACGAUCCUUAGCUGGUCUGAGAGGAUGAUCAGCCACACUGGGACUGAGACACGGCCCAGACUCCUACGGGAGGCAGCAGUGGGGAAUAUUGGACAAUGGGCGAAAGCCUGAUCCAGCAAUGCCGCGUGAGUGAUGAAGGCCUUAGGGUUGUAAAGCUCUUUUACCCGGGAUGAUAAUGACAGUACCGGGAGAAUAAGCUCCGGCUAACUUCGUG
rnacentral:rRNA from 1 species